AUUGAACGCUGGCGGCAUGCCUUACACAUGCAAGUCGAACGGCAGCAUGAUCUAGCUUGCUAGAUUGAUGGCGAGUGGCGAACGGGUGAGUAAUACAUCGGAACGUGCCCUGUAGUGGGGGAUAACUAGUCGAGAGAUUAGCUAAUACCGCAUACGACCUGAGGGUGAAAGUGGGGGACCGCAAGGCCUCAUGCUAUAGGAGCGGCCGAUGUCUGAUUAGCUAGUUGGUGAGGUAAAGGCUCACCAAGGCGACGAUCAGUAGCUGGUCUGAGAGGACGAUCAGCCACACUGGGACUGAGACACGGCCCAGACUCCUACGGGAGGCAGCAGUGGGGAAUUUUGGACAAUGGGCGAAAGCCUGAUCCAGCAAUGCCGCGUGUGUGAAGAAGGCCUUCGGGUUGUAAAGCACUUUUGUCCGGAAAGAAAUGGCUCUGGUUAAUACCUGGGGUCGAUGACGGUACCGGAAGAAUAAGGACCGGCUAACUACGUG
rnacentral:rRNA from 1 species